GAUGAACGCUGGCGGCGUGCUUAACACAUGCAAGUCGAACGAAGCACUUUUGAUUCUUCGGAAAAGAAAGUGACUGAGUGGCGGACGGGUGAGUAACGCGUGGGUAACCUGCCUUAUACAGGGGGGUAACAGUUGGAAACGACUGCUAAUACCGCAUAAGCCGACAGGGCCGCAUGGCCUGGUUGGAAAAGAUUUAUCGGUAUAAGAUGGACCCGCGUCUGAUUAGCUAGUUGGUGAGGUAAUGGCUCACCAAGGCGACGAUCAGUAGCCGGCUUGAGAGAGUGAACGGCCACAUUGGGACUGAGACACGGCCCAAACUCCUACGGGAGGCAGCAGUGGGGAAUAUUGCACAAUGGGGGAAACCCUGAUGCAGCAACGCCGCGUGAAGGAAGAAGUAUUUCGGUAUGUAAACUUCUAUCAGCAGGAAAGAAAAUGACGGUACCUGACUAAGAAGCCCCGGCUAACUACGUGCCAGCAGCCGCCGUAA
rnacentral:rRNA from 1 species